CACGUAGGCACCAAGCGUUGUCCGGAUUUAUUGGGCGUAAAGAGCUCGUAGGCGGUUCAGUAAGUCGGGUGUGAAAACUCUGGGCUCAACCCAGAGAUGCCACCCGAUACUGCUGUGACUUGAGUACGGUAGGGGAGUAGGGAAUUCCUGGUGUAGCGGUGAAAUGCGCAGAUAUCAGGAGGAACACCGGUGGCGAAGGCGCUACUCUGGGCCGAAACUGACGCUGAGGAGCGAAAGCGUGGGUAGCAAGCAGG
rnacentral:rRNA from 1 species